GACGAACGCUGGCGGCGUGCUUAACACAUGCAAGUCGAACGGAGUGGCGAACGGGUGAGUAACACGUGGGUGAUCUGCCUUGCACUUCGGGAUAAGCUUGGGAAACUGGGUCUAAUACCGGAUAGUGCAAGAUGAGCUCGCGGCCUAUCAGCUUGUUGGUGGGGUAAUGGCCUACCAAGGCGUCGAGGUGUAGCCGGCCUGAGAGGGGGUACGGCGACAUUGGGACUGCGAGAGGGCCCAGACUCGUACGUGGGGCAGCAGGGGGGAAUAUUGCACAAUGGGCGGAAGCCUGAUGCAGCGACGCCGGGGGGGGGAUGAAGGCCUUCGGGUUGUAAACUCCUUUCGACAGGGACGCGGUACCUGUAUAAGAAGCACCGGCUAACUACGUGCCAGCAGCCGCGGUAAUUC
rnacentral:rRNA from 1 species